UCUCCGUUGGUGAACCAGCGGAGGGAUCAUUACCGAGUUUACAACUCCCAAACCCCUUUGAACAUACCAUUUGUUGCCUCGGCGGUGCCUGCUUCGGCAGCCCGCCAGAGGACCCAAACCCUUGAUUUUAUACAGUAUCUUCUGAGUAAAUGAUUAAAUAAAUCAAAACUUUCAACAACGGAUCUCUUGGUUCUG
rnacentral:misc_RNA from 1 species